rnacentral:rRNA from 1 species
UUUAUUUGAUUUCCUUCGGGACUGAUUAUUUUGUGACUGAGUGGCGGACGGGUGAGUAACGCGUGGGUAACCUGCCUUGUACAGGGGGAUAACAGUUGGAAACGGCUGCUAAUACCGCAUAAGCGCACAGCAUCGCAUGAUGCAGUGUGAAAAACUCCGGUGGUAUAAGAUGGACCCGCGUUGGAUUAGCUAGUUGGUGAGGUAACGGCCCACCAAGGCGACGAUCCAUAGCCGACCUGAGAGGGUGACCGGCCACAUUGGGACUGAGACACGGCCCAAACUCCUACGGGAGGCAGCAGUGGGGAAUAUUGCACAAUGGGCGAAAGCCUGAUGCAGCGACGCCGCGUGAGCGAAGAAGUAUUUCGGUAUGUAAAGCUCUAUCAGCAGGGAAGAUAAUGACGGUACCUGACUAAGAAGCACCGGCUAAAUACGUGCCAGCAGCCGCGGUAAUACGUAUGGUGCAAGCGUUAUCCGGAUUUACUGGGUGUAAAGGGAGCGCAGGCGGUGCGGCAAGUCUGAUGUGAAAGCCCGGGGCUCAACCCCGGUACUGCAUUGGAAACUGUCGUACUAGAGUGUCGGAGGGGUAAGCGGAAUUCCUAGUGUAGCGGUGAAAUGCGUAGAUAUUAGGAGGAACACCAGUGGCGAAGGCG